rnacentral:rRNA from 1 species
GACGAACGCUGGCGGCGUGCUUAACACAUGCAAGUCGAACGGAAAGGCCCUGCUUUUGUGGGGUGCUCGAGUGGCGAACGGGUGAGUAACACGUGAGUAACCUGCCCUUGACUUUGGGAUAACUUCAGGAAACUGGGGCUAAUACCGGAUAGGAGCUCCUGCUGCAUGGUGGGGGUUGGAAAGUUUCGGCGGUUGGGGAUGGGCUCGCGGCUUAUCAGCUUGUUGGUGGGGUAGUGGCUUACCAAGGCUUUGACGGGUAGCCGGCCUGAGAGGGUGACCGGCCACAUUGGGACUGAGAUACGGCCCAGACUCCUACGGGAGGCAGCAGUGGGGAAUAUUGCACAAUGGGCGGAAGCCUGAUGCAGCAACGCCGCGUGCGGGAUGACGGCCUUCGGGUUGUAAACCGCUUUCGGCUGUGACGAAGCGUGAGUGACGGUAAUUGGUGAAGAAGCACCGGCUAACUACGUG